CAAGUCGAACGGCAGCACAGGGGAGCUUGCUCCCUGGGUGGCGAGUGGCGGACGGGUGAGUAAUACAUCGGGACCUACCCAGACGUGGGGGAUAACCUCGGGAAACCGGGACUAAUACCGCAUACGUCCUACGGGAGAAAGCAGGGGAUCUUCGGACCUUGCGCGGUUGGACGGACCGAUGUUCGAUUAGCUAGUUGGUGGGGUAAAGGCCUACCAAGGCGACGAUCGAUAGCUGGUCUGAGAGGAUGAUCAGCCACAUUGGGACUGAGACACGGCCCAAACUCCUACGGGAGGCAGCAGUGGGGAAUAUUGGACAAUGGGCGCAAGCCUGAUCCAGCAAUGCCGCGUGUGUGAAGAAGGCCUUCGGGUUGUAAAGCACUUUUAUCAGGAGCGAAAUCGGCAAGGUUAAUAACCGUGUCGUCUGACGGUACCUGAGGAAUAAGCACCGGCUAACUUCGUGCCAGCAGCCGCGGUAAUACGAAGGGUGCAAGCGUUAAUCGGAAUUACUGGGCGUAAAGGGUGCGUAGGCGGUUGUUUAAGUCUGUCGUGAAAUCCCCGGGCUCAACCUGGGAAUGGCGAUGGAAACUGGGCAGCUAGAGUGUGUCAGAGGAUGGUGGAAUUCCCGGUGUAGCGGUGAAAUGCGUAGAGAUCGGGAGGAACAUCAGUGGCGAAGGCGGCCAUCUGGGACAACACUGACGCUGAAGCACGAAAGCGUGGGGAGCAAACAGGAUUAGAUACCCUGGUAGUCCACGCCCUAAACGAUGCGAACUGGACGUUGGUCUCAACUCGGAGAUCAGUGUCGAAGCUAACGCGUUAAGUUCGCCGCCUGGGGAGUACGGUCGCAAGACUGAAACUCAAAGGAAUUGACGGGGGCCCGCACAAGCGGUGGAGUAUGUGGUUUAAUUCGAUGCAACGCGAAGAACCUUACCUGGCCUUGACAUGUCGCGAAUCCUGC
rnacentral:rRNA from 1 species